rnacentral:misc_RNA from 1 species
UACGAAUGGGGCAAGCGUUGUUCGGAAUCACUGGGCUUAAAGCGUGCGUAGGCGGACUUGCAAGUCAGGAGUGAAAUCCCAGGGCUCAACCUUGGAAUUGCUUUUGAAACUAUGAGUCUAGAAUCCGGCAGGGGUUGGGAGAAUUCCUAGUGUAGAGGUGAAAUUCGCAGAUAUUAGGAGGAAUACCAGUGGCGUAGGCGCCCAACUGGACCGGCAUUGACGCUGAGGCACGAAAGCGUGGGGAGCAAACAGG